AUUGAACGCUGGCGGCAGGCCUAACACAUGCAAGUCGAACGGUAACAGGAAACAGCUUGCUGUUUCGCUGACGAGUGGCGGACGGGUGAGUAAUGUCUGGGAAACUGCCUGAUGGAGGGGGAUAACUACUGGAAACGGUAGCUAAUACCGCAUAACGUCGCAAGACCAAAGAGGGGGACCUUCGGGCCUCUUGCCAUCGGAUGUGCCCAGAUGGGAUUAGCCAGUAGGUGGGGUAACGGCUCACCUAGGCGCCGAUCCCUAGCUGGUCUGAGAGGAUGACCAGCAACACGGGAACUGAGACACGGUCCGGACUCCUACGGGAGGCAGCAGUGGGGAAUCUUGCACAAUGGGCGCAAGCCUGAUGCAGCCAUGUCGCGUGUAUGAAGAAGGCCUUCGGGUUGUAAAGUACUUUCAGCGGGGAGGAAGGGAGUAAAGUUAAUACCUUUGCUCAUUGACGUUACCCGCAGAAGAAGCACCGGCUAACUCCGUGCCAGCCGCCGCCGUAA
rnacentral:rRNA from 1 species